rnacentral:rRNA from 1 species
UACGUAGGGACCGAGCGUUGUCCGGAAUCAUUGGGCGUAAAGAGCGUGUAGGCGGCCACUUAAGUCCUGCGUGAAAUCCUGCGGCUCAACCGCAGGCGGUCGUGGGAAACUGGGUGGCUAGAGUGCGGGAGAGGAGAGUGGAAUUCCUGGUGUAGCGGUGAAAUGCGCAGAUAUCAGGAGGAACACCAAUGGCGAAGGCAGCUCGCUGGAACGGAACUGACGCUGAGGCGCGAAAGCGUGGGGAGCGAACAGG